AAGGAAGAGAUGCAACAUUUAAGUGGGCUAGAGACCGAGGGGUGGAUUUAACUAUGGAUGCUAUUGCACAGGUUAUUCAUGACUGUGACACAUGUACCACAAUUAAAAAAGCCAAGAGGACGAAACCUCUCUGGGGAGAAGGGCAAUGGCAAAAGUACAAAUAUGGGGAGGCGUCACCUUGCCACGAUCUCGCAGUGAUAAGCAUUAUGUGCUCACCAUGGUGGAGGCAACCACUGGGUGGCUUGAAAACAUACGCAGUACUCCAUGCUACUGCCCAAAACACCAAAUUAGGUCUCAAGAAAGAAGUCCGAUGGCUACAUGGCACACCAGAAGUCAGAUAAUGGGACUCAUUUCAAAAACUCCCUUGUAAAUACUUGGGCCAAAGAUCAUGGCAUUGAGUGGAUUUAUCAUAUCCCCUGUCACGCACCAGCCUCUGGUAAAAUUGAACAAUACAAUGGGGUGUCAAAAACUGUUGAAAGCAAUGGGUGGCAGAACAUCUAAGCAUUGGGAGAAGUAUUUGGCAGAAGGUACCUGGUUGGUAAACACUAGAGGAUUGGUCAGUCAUGAUGGUCCUGCCAGCUCCCUACAUACUGUCAAGGGAGAUAAGGUCCUUGUAGUACAUGUAAAGAACAUGGGGAAAAACAUUUUGGGUCUUUCCAGCUUCUGGGAAGGGAAAACCUCUUCGUGGAACUGUUUUUGCCCAGAGACCUGGGUCCACUUGGUGAGUGAUGCAGAAAGAUGGGGAUGUUCGUUGUGUACCACAAGGGAAUCUGAUGUUGGGGGAGUGCAGCCAGUCAUUCCAUGUGUGUGUGUGUGUGUGUGUGUGUAUAUAUAUAUGUAUGUAUGUAUGUGUGUGCAUGAGUUUAAUGCUUGUUAAUUAUUGUUUUUUGUUUGUAUAUAUUAAGCAUGAUGUAGUGAUGUAGAAUAAGGGGUGGAAUGUUACGGUUUUAUGAUUUUUGGUUGUCAGUAUUCCAUAUCAUAACAUGAUGUAGUGUACUGGGAGUUAAAGAGUUAAUGCUCCAGUUCCGGGUACGUGUCCCAGAAGAGAAGAAGAACUACAUACCCCAGAGGACUUUGCAUUCAGAGAGGCGGUAUAACCCCUGCCUGUGUGCCCCAGCUUUCCUCUGAGGACCACUGUGGUGCCUGGCCCACAACAAGUGCUGCAUGAGAGCUGCAGCGUGAGAGCUGCUCUGGCCAGAUGCAGCCAUGUCAUCACCAGCUUUCAUCAGCCCCAGCUCUGCUGUCACCAUGGUUCUGGAAGUGCUCAGGUCACCUCGCUCCCUGUUGUUCUGACACAAAAGCAACAAGACACCGAAGGCUGCCUUGACAAAAAGAAGCUGAAAUCCUACAAAAGGGCAAAUAGCGCAAAAGGGGGGCCCCUCCGCUGCUGUCAACCUGUGUUAUGGCUCGACAGAUCCUGCCUUGUGAUUCUGCCCAGUGAGGAUGCCCCGUGGCAUAAGCUCACCAUAUGACUGCACGCUGUGCGCAUUGAGCUCUCCAAGAAAGUAAUGAACAUUAACAAUGGAAGUGGAAUCAGAAUCCUAUAAUGCAAGAAAUACUGCUGGGUCAGCUGGACACAGAAGGUGCAUCAGUGAUUUCAUGAGAAGAACACCAGAUGCAUGCAACUAAUAAAGCAAACAAGCCAGCGAGAAUACAGCUUACGCUACUGCUCUCUCUAGCAGAGUUCUCUGUUUCACAUGUACAGACCGUGACAUGAGACAAUGCGCUGCCUUGCUGGUUUGAUUUCCCAGAUUCAAAAGGCAGUAUUUCCUGAACAAAGAACAGCUGAGUGACAUCCCAGGAGAAAGUGCAGUGGUACCAGCUCUGAAGCACAAGGACGCUGCUGCUUUAUUGGAGAUCAAUUAUUGUCUUGAUAAGAAACAACAUACCAAUCAUCCAAAAUGGAAAUGUGGUAAAUCUUGCAUAAAUCUAUUCCUCCCGAAAUGAGCAUAGAUGAAAAAAAUAUAUGUACAUAUAAAUAUGUAAGUCAAUAAGAGCUGAUAUGAUGCAUUUACCUAGAGUUAAUUUUGACUGUGGAACAUACCUUUGUAUUUUUCUGACUGCAUACUUGUGAUUACAGUAUAUACACACAGAUUAAAGAUUUCUGCAAAAUCUAAGAAGAGGAUCCACACCAGGGUGCUGAUCUUUCAGCCUACACUCCAAUACAGGCCUGGACCCAUGAUCAACUCACUCUACUCACCCUUCGCCCAUUUGCACUUCAG
ensembl:lncRNA